rnacentral:rRNA from 1 species
GACGAACGCUGGCGGCGUGCUUGACACAUGCAAGUCGAACGGAAAGGCCUGCUUUCCCUUGUGGGUUGUGGGUACUCGGGUGGCGAACGAGUGAGUAACACGUGAGUUAUCUGCCCCUACCUUGUGUAUACGCCUGGGAGACUGUGUCUCAUUCCCGAUAGGACUUCAGGGUUGUUCGUUUUGUGGAAAACGAUUUUCUAGUGGUUGGGGAUGAGCUCGCGGCCUAUCAGCUUGUUGGUGGGGUGAUGGCCUACGAAGGCGGCGACGGGUAGCCGGGCUGGGAGGGUGGACGGCAACAGUGGGAAGGAGAGACGGAGCAGACUACUACGGGAGGCAGCAGGGGGGAAUAUUGCACGAGGGGAGGAAGGAUGAAGCAGCGACGCGGCGUGGGGGGUGACGGCCGGGGGGUGAUAAACUCCUGUCGGCCGAGAGGAAGCGACUUGGUUGGAAGGGUGGUGACGGUAGUGGUAGAAGAAGCGCCGGCUAACUACGUG